GAUGAACGCUGGCGGCGUGCCUAAUACAUGCAAGUCGAGCGAACAGACGAGGAGCUUGCUCCUCUGACGUUAGCGGCGGACGGGUGAGUAACACGUGGAUAACCUACCUAUAAGACUGGGAUAACUUCGGGAAACCGGAGCUAAUACCGGAUAACAUGUUGAACCGCAUGGUUCAACAGUGAAAGACGGUCUUGCUGUCACUUAUAGAUGGAUCCGCGCCGCAUUAGCUAGUUGGUAAGGUAACGGCUUACCAAGGCAACGAUGCGUAGCCGACAUGAGAGGGUGACCGGCCAAACUGGAACUAAGACACGGUGCCGACUCCUACGGGAGUCACCAGUAGGGUAUGUUACGCAAUGGGCGAAAGCCUGACGGAGCAAUGCUGCGUGAGUGAUGAAGGUCUUCGGAUCGUAAAAAUCUCUUAUUAGUAAAGAACAAAUGUGUAAGUAAUUAUUCACGUCUUGACGGUACCUAAUCAGAAAGCCACGGCUAACUACGGG
rnacentral:rRNA from 1 species